ensembl:snoRNA
GAGUGAUGAUGUUAAUAUAAAUCCACCUGAAGAGUGUAUUUUUUAAAUACCUCUCUUGAUGGUUUCUACACUUGAACUGAGCUCA